AUGGUGCAGAAGAAAGACAAGAAGCCUAAAAAGUCAACCUGGAAGUUUAAUUUGGAGUUUACUCAUCCAGUAGAAGAUGGAGUUUUUGAUUCUGGAAAUGUUGAACAGUUUAUGCUGGAGAAGGUUAAAGUGAAUGGAAAGACUGGAAAUCUUGGGAAUGCCGUUCACAUUGAACACUUCAAGAAUAAAAUCAUAGUUGUUUCUGAGAAACAGUUCUCUAAAAGGUAUUUGAAGUACUUUACCAAGAAAUACCUUAAAAAGAACAGUCUUCAUGAUUGGCUUCCUGUGGUUGCAUCUGACAAGGAGACUUAUGAGCUUCGUUACUUCCAGAUUAGACAAGAUGAAGAUGAAUCUGAGUCUAAGGACUAG
rnacentral:lncRNA from 1 species